GGUUUGGAAGGUGGAGUGACCACAGAAGCCAGAGUGACCACAGCAGCCAAACAUAGCGAGUCAAUGAAUGUGAAUGACAGGAAAGAGAAGGCUGGCCCACCAUCUAAAAGAGCUCACCUACAACUUCCAGAGAGCACAACUGACAUGGACCCCCUGUCUCAGGGAGGUGCCAAUAUGGUUGGAGAUGGAGGAUGUGCAGCAGUGGCUGAGAGCACUGCAGACCUGGGAUGAUAUCUCCUCUGAGGAGAAACAGGUGAAACUUUGCAUGACUGGAAGACAGUGGUCUCUAAUCUUACAGAGCACACAAUUCAACACAACACUCCAGUCGUUAAAGUGUGUGUGUGUCGACCACUGUGUGUGUGAACCACUCUUCCUCCACAGCGUUUACAGCAUUAUUAUCUCAGGGGAUACUGUCGUGCUGUGAGGGAGAUCCCAGGGGUCCUGCUGUGUUCCAUAGGCUCCAGAACAGGCUCUGAGGCUGAAGAACCAGGGGAGCAGCCCUAUACACCCACUACUGUAGACGCAGACAUAGCCGAGGAGGAGAAGAGGAGGAAGAUAAGAAUGAAGGAGAAGAAAGGGAGAGGAAGACUAGAUCCAAGGCUAAGCAAUCCUUUAACAAUAAGUGUGGUAUGAUGGCCCACACCAAGCACUGUACCAUGUCCCAGGAGACCAUGCUGCAGUGCCCUGAGUGCCCAGAGGAGCUGCCCACAUUGCAACAACGGGUGGUUGUUGUCCUUGAUGAUCUUUUUGGCCUUCCUGUGACAUCGGGUGGUGUAGGUGUC